UCGUAACAAGGUUUCCGAUAGGAACAAGUGAUCUUUCCGUGCGACACUUGCUGAAGCCUUAGCUACCUGAAAAGGUGUGAAUCUUGCGACUCUAAAAAAACAAGGCCACGGAAAAGCUAGUCCCCGUAUGGGGGCGACACUAUCAAAUUGCAGGAAUUCCCUAAAGAUCUCAGUACCAAGCAUUGUCUGGAAACAGGGAUGUGGCCUGGUUAACUACCAAGGGUACGGUUACAAUCUGAGAUAUGAGGCAUUUUAUGUUGAAAUGGGUGAUCUGCAGCCAAGUCCUUCACCCUCGUGGGGUAUGGAUGCUGUUCACAGGCCAAAUGGUAGUGGGUGGCGUUUCGACGCUGCUUAAGAUAUGGUCGGGCCACCGUAGAAAUAUGGUGGGUCGUUGGUACCUUCACUGGAUACCUCCAAAAUAACCGUUCCGUAGGUGAACCUGCGGAAGGAUCAUUACCGAGGAAUCCGCUUGAUUUCAAGCGACCUCUCACACAAUGCGUAUAUCAAACGUGUUUUAUAUUUAAACAAUUUAAAACUUUCAACAACGGAUCUCUUGGUUCUGGCAUCGAUGAAGAACGCAGCGAAAUGCGAUAAGUAAUGUGAAUUGCAGAAUUCAGUGAAUCAUCGAAUCUUUGAACGCACAUUGCGCCCUCUGGUAUUCCGGAGGGCACACCUGUUCGAGCGCCGUAGUACAACUAAGGCUCUGCCUUGCGUUGAUCCUGUCCAAGCCUUUUGGCUACGGACGUGAUCGAAACCCUGUGGCGCCGCCUGGCGGCCGGCUAUGCGCAAUAGCAAAAGCCAGUCGUGAAGGUGGCCGCCUGUUUUUACAGCACGCUUGGCCUCGGAUCAGGUGGGGAUACCCGCUGAACUUAAGCAUAUCAAUAAGCGGAGGAAAAGAAACCAACAGGGAUUGCCUCAGUAACGGCGAGUGAAGCGGCAACAGCUCAGAUUUGAAAUCCGGCUUCUUAGCCCGAGUUGUAAUCUGCAGAGGUGCGUUCGGCAGAGGCGCCGGUCCAAGUUUCCUGGAACGGAACGUCGCAGAGGGUGAGAACCCCGUACGCGGUCGGCAGCCGAAGCCAUGUGAACGCCCUUCGACGAGUCGAGUUGUUUGGGAAUGCAGCUCAAAGCGGGUGGUAAAUUCCAUCUAAAGCUAAAUAUUGGCCAGAGACCGAUAGUGCACAAGUAGAGUGAUCGAAAGAUGAAAAGCACUUUGGAAAGAGAGUCAAACAGUACGUGAAAUUGUUGAAAGGGAAGCGCUUGCGACCAGACUCGCGCGUGGUUGCUCAGCCGGUUUUGCGACCGGUGCACUCUUCCACGCUCGGGCCAGCAUCGGUUUGGGCGGCUGGACAAAGGCUUGGGGAACGUGGCUCCCUUCGGGGAGUGUUAUAGACCCUUGCACAAUACAGCCAGCCUGGACCGAGGACCGCGCAUCUGCCAGGAUGCUGGCGUAAUGGUUGCUAGCGGCC
rnacentral:rRNA from 1 species